rnacentral:rRNA from 1 species
UACGUAGGUGGCAAGCGUUGUCCGGAUUUACUGGGCGUAAAGGGCGUGCAGGCGGUUUGUCUAGUCUAGGGUGAAAAGCUCCCGGCUUAACUGGGAGAGGUCCUUGGAUACUGGCAAACUUGAGGGAGGCAGAGGAAAGUGGAAUUCCCGGGUGUAGUGGUGAUAUGCGUAGAUAUCGGGAGGAACACCAGUGGCGAAGGCG